AACGAUGAACCGGCUGUCGCCUGACGAUGGUUUAAAAAGCGCAGGAAUUUCCUGCCGCUGUAAAAAACCAGCCGCCAGGAGGAAAGUCCGGGCUCCGCAGGACAUGAUGCCGGGUAACGCCCGGGGGUAAGGUUCACAAAAGACCUUAUCACAGAUAGCGCAACAGAAAGCAAACCGCCAUGUGCGGAUUUUCGCAAAGAUUUGCGAAAAUCCGCGGGUAAGGGUGAAAGGGCGGGGUAAGAGCCCACCUCGGCGGCGGUAACGCAGCCGGACGGCAAACCUCAUCAGGAGCAAAGUCAAGCAGCGGCAGGGCUGUCCGCCUUAUGCCGCGGGUAGACUGCACGAAGGCCGCCUGAAAAGUCGGCUUCAGAUAGAUGGCAGCGAAGAAGGCUUCCAGCCUUUGGAUACAGAACCCGGCUUAUGGUUCAUCGUUUUUU
rnacentral:RNase_P_RNA from 1 species